rnacentral:rRNA from 1 species
AUCAUUACCGAGUUCAUGCCCUUACGGGUAGAUCUCCCACCCUAUGUUAUAUUACCUUUGUUGCUUUGGCGGGCCGACAGGCUUCGGCCAGUCUACCGGCUCCGGCUGGUAAGCGCCCGCCAGAGGACCCCAAACUCUGAAUUUUAGUGUCGUCUGAGUACUAUCUAAUAGUUAAAACUUUCAACAACGGAUCUCUUGGUUCUGGCAUCGAUGAAGAACGCAGCGAAAUGCGAUAAGUAAUGUGAAUUGCAGAAUUCAGUGAAUCAUCGAAUCUUUGAACGCACAUUGCGCCCCUUGGUAUUCCGAGGGGCAUGCCUGUUCGAGCGUCAUUACAACCCUCAAGCUCUGCUUGGUAUUGGGCUCCGCGGCUUACCCCGCGGGCCUUAAAAUCAGUGGCGGCGUCUUCAGGCUCUGAACGUAGUAAAUAUUCCUCGUUACGGAGUCCUGGCGGCGGUAGUCAUCAACCCCCCCAACUUUCUAAGUUUGACCUCGGAUCAGGUAGGGAUACCCGCUGAACUUAAGCAUAUCAAUAAGCGGAGGA